UACAGAGGGGGCAAGCGUUAUUCGGAAUUAUUGGGCGUAAAGGGCGCGUAGGCGGCUUGACAAGUGGAAGGUGAAAUCCCUCGGCUUAACCGAGGAACUGCCUUCCAGACUGUCUGGCUUGAGACCGGGAGAGGUGAGUGGAAUUCCCAGUGUAGCGGUGAAAUGCGUAGAUAUUGGGAGGAACACCAGUGGCGAAGGCGGCUCACUGGACCGGUACUGACGCUGAUGUGCGAAAGCUAGGGGAGCGAACGGG
rnacentral:rRNA from 1 species